UACGUAGGGUGCAAGCGUUGUCCGGAAUUAUUGGGCGUAAAGAGCUCGUAGGCGGUUUGUUGCGUCGGCUGUGAAAACCCGCAGCUCAACUGUGGGCUUGCAGCUGAUACGGGCAGGCUUGAGUUCGGUAGGGGAGACUGGAAUUCCUGGUGUAGCGGUGAAAUGCGCAGAUAUCAGGAGGAACACCGGUGGCGAAGGCGGGUCUCUGGGCCGAUACUGACGCUGAGGAGCGAAAGCGUGGGGAGCGAACAGG
rnacentral:rRNA from 1 species